rnacentral:rRNA from 1 species
AGUUGUAAUUUGGAGAGGAUGCUUCGGGUGUGGCCCCGGUCUAAGUUCCUUGGAACAGGACGUCACAGAGGGUGAGAAUCCCGUACGUGCCCGGUGGCCGCCCCCGUGUGAAGCUCCUUCGAC